GAUGAACGCUAGCGGGAGGCCUAACACAUGCAAGCCGAGCGGUAUUGUUUCUUCGGAAAUGAGAGAGCGGCGUACGGGUGCGGAACACGUGUGCAACCUGCCUUUAUCUGGGGGAUAGCCUUUCGAAAGGAAGAUUAAUACUCCAUAACAUAUUGAUUGGCAUCAAUUAAUAUUGAAAGCUCCGGCGGAUAGAGAUGGGCACGCGCAAGAUUAGCUAGUUGGUGAGGAAACGGCUCACCAAGGCGAUGAUCUUUAGGGGGCCUGAGAGGGUGAUCCCCCACACUGGUACUGAGACACGGACCAGACUCCUACGGGAGGCAGCAGUGAGGAAUAUUGGUCAAUGGGUGCAAGCCUGAACCAGCCAUCCCGCGUGAAGGACGACUGCCCUAUGGGUUGUAAACUUCUUUUGUAUAGGGAUAAACCUACCCUCGUGAGGGUAGCUGAAGGUACUAUACGAAUAAGCACCGGCUAACUCCGUGCCAGCAGCCGCCGUAACAC
rnacentral:rRNA from 1 species